rnacentral:other from 1 species
AGGGGUCUGUGCUAUCCGUUAUAAGUUAAGUCAAAUUUCCCGAGCGAUAAUAUUUUAUUAAGGGAAUUGCCUCUGCUAGUUUUAUUAAAAUUGGCACGUGAUACCCACCUUAAUUUGAGGUCUCAGGAAUAAGCUAAGGCUGACGGUAGAUAUGGACCCCAU